rnacentral:rRNA from 1 species
AUUGAACGCUGGCGGCAUGCCUAACACAUGCAAGUCGAGCGAGCGGCGGACGGGUGAGUAAUGUCUGGGAAACUGCCUGAUGGAGGGGGAUAACUACUGGAAACGGUAGCUAAUACCGCAUACCAUCAGAUGUGCCCAGAUGGGAUUAGCUAGUAGGUGGGGUAAUGGCUCACCUAGGCGACGAUCCCUAGCUGGUCUGAGAGGAUGACCAGCCACACGGGAACUGAGACACGGUCCAGAUGCCAAUGGGAGGCAGCAGAGGGGAAUAUUGGACAAUGGGCGCAAGACUGAUGCAGCCAUGCCGCGUGUAUGAAGAAGGACUUCGGGUUGUAAAGUACUUUCAGCGGGGAGGCGUUACCAACAGAAUAAGCACCGGCUAACUCCGUGCCAGCAGCCGCGGUAAUUC